GGGCAUAUGGCCUGAUGUCGACGAUUCAGCCCUAACACUUCCGCGGCCUCGGCCACGGCCUCUUGCACCUCUUCUAGCAAUCAUCGUUGAUUUACGUAUUAUCUGGAUUAGAAAUUUUAUGAAGUUUUAGUUAGUUUCAAUAAUUAAGCCGAUGUUUUAUGAUAGUAUUAAAAAGAAAGUUGUUUUCGUAAAUCCUCUAUAGUUUCAAGGUCCUACGGGCUUCAAUUUCAC
rnacentral:lncRNA from 1 species